rnacentral:lncRNA from 1 species
GAGCGAUCGCGGUGGGCUUGGGCUGGUGACGCGUGCGCCGGCCGGCCGCCGAGGGGCUACCGUUCUGCCUCCGACCGGUCGUGUGUGGGUUUACUCGGAGAAAUACUAGGCUUUAGAAUUUCACCAUAUGAAUUUUGGGAGAGAGGAGCACAGUUCAGCCCAUAACUAACACACGUGAUGAAGAAGACAUGCCAACAGAGGGUUAAUUCCAGAUAAAAUGAAAUGUUCCAAACAGUACGUUUGGUUAUUUGAUUCAUCUGUGGGGGAAGGAAAGAUAAUUUUCCAAAGGACAUUCCUCCUAAAUUCUGUCUUAAAGUUGUUUACGGAAUGAAGUUGAUAAUAGUGAGACCUUGUUGGUACAAGACUAUGUAACAUAACCUGCGCUUCUCAACAAAGAAUUGCUUUUCUGACUUCUGCACUCAAUAGCAAGACAAAUCUCUCCUCUGCCUUCUCCUUAUCAGACUACUCAACAUGAAGGCAAUAAGAAUGAAGACCUCUAUGUAUAAUAAUUGACUUCCACUUAAUAAAUACCUGAACAGAUGUUGAGUACAAGCUGAUCCACCUACGUUCAACCUGAGAGAGUCCACAUCCACAGACUGUUUCAUUUCCCUUUUUCAAUUUACAUAGAAGCAUAGAUUCUUGCUGGCAUAUACAAAUGCGCCAUUUAAGGCAAUCAAAAAUGGUUCCACAUCUCAUCUGAUUUCCACAAUUGUUGCUGUAACGAUGGACUACUGAGGAGAGAGACAAUUUCUCUGGCACAUCUUCCCACAUUUUAGCAACAUGUUCAUGGAGAGCCAAUAUUCAGUAAUUACAGCCCAAUUCCUCACAAUUUCACAAUUCGCUAACAAUAUGCAUUUUCACAAUGUAAAGCUGAUUUUCCUUUAACCAAAUCAAACAUGAAAAGAUAGCUGCAUGCAAUGGGCAAUCUAGAUCAUUAGAAGAUUGAUGUAAAAUUAGAGGACACUGAGACUGGAAUAGAUUGCAAACUUCAGGGAGCUCAGAAAACUUGUAAACUCUACAUUUUGAGGAAAUAUGUUGUCGAUGCUUUUGCAACUCUAUGCAGUAACUUAACAAAUAAAGCCUUAAAGUAACU